GGGCAACUCCAUGAGUACAGCGGCGCACGGGUGAGUAACACGUAGGUAACCUGCCUUCGAGACCGGGAUAACCUUCCGAAAGGAGGGCUAAUACCGGAUGAGACCACGGGACCUUGGUCCUGCGAUCAAAGGUGGCCUCUGCAUGCAAGCUAUCACUCGAAGAUGGGCCUGCGCACCAUUAGCUAGUUGGCGAGGUAACGGCUCACCAAGGCGAAGAUGGUUAGCUGGUCUGAGAGGAUGACCAGCCACACUGGGACUGAGACACGGCCCAGACUCCUACGGGAGGCAGCAGUGGGGAAUAUUGGACAAUGGGGGAAACCCUGAUCCAGCGACGCCGCGUGGGUGAUGAAGGCCUUCGGGUCGUAAAGCCCUGUCUGGGGGGACGAAUCCCCUGCCGGUGAACAAUCGGCAGGAAUGACGGUACCCCCGAAGGAAGCACCGGCUAACUCUGUGCCAGCAGCCGCGGUAAGACAGAGGGUGCGAGCGUUGUUCGGAAUUACUGGGCGUAAAGGGCGCGUAGGCGGUCUGUUAAGUUCGGUGUGAAAGCCCUCGGCUCAACCGGGGAAGUGCGCCGGAUACUGACAGACUUGAGUACCGGAGAGGAGGGUGGAAUUCCUGGUGUAGCGGUGAAAUGCGUAGAUAUCAGGAGGAACACCGGUGGCGAAGGCGGCCCUCUGGACGAGUACUGACGCUGAGGCGCGAAAGCGUGGGGAUCAAACAGGAUUAGAUACCCUGGUAGUCCACGCUGUAAACGAUGGAGACUAGGUGUGGGGGGUAUUGACCCCUCCCGUGCCGACGCUAACGCAUUAAGUCUCCCGCCUGGGGAUUACGGCCGCAAGGUUAAAAC
rnacentral:rRNA from 1 species